rnacentral:rRNA from 1 species
AUGCACGCUGGCGGCGUGCCUCAUCCCUGCAAGUCGAGCGAACAGACGAGGAGCUUGCUCCUUCGACGUUAGCGGCGGACGGGUGAGUAACACGUAGGUAACCUACCUAUAAGACUGGGAUAACUUCGGGAAACCGGAGCUAAUACCGGAUAAUAUUUCGAACCGCAUGGUUCGAUAGUGAAAGAUGGCUUUGCUAUCACUUAUAGAUGGACCUGCGCCGUAUUAGCUAGUUGGUAAGGUAACGGCUUACCAAGGCAACGAUACGUAGCCGACCUGAGAGGGUGAUCGGCCACACUGGAACUGAGACACGGUCCAGACUCCUACGGGAGGCAGCAGUAGGGAAUCUUCCGCAAUGGGCGAAAGCCUGACGGAGCAACGCCGCGUGAGUGAUGAAGGUCUUCGGAUCGUAAAACUCUGUUAUUAGGGAAGAACAAACGUGUAAGUAACUGUGCACGUCUUGACGGUACCUAAUCAGAAAGCCACGGCUAACUACGUG